GUGCCAGCCGCCGCGGUAAUACGGAGGGGGCGAGCGUUGUUCGGAAUUACUGGGCGUAAAGGGCGCGUAGGCGGCCCAUCAAGUUAGGCGUGAAAGCCCCGGGCUCAACCUGGGAAUUGCGCUUAAGACUGGUGAGCUAGAGUACGAGAGAGGAAAAUGGAAUUCCUAGUGUAGAGGUGAAAUUCGUAGAUAUUAGGAAGAACACCAGUGGCGAAGGCGGUUUUCUGGCUCGUAACUGACGCUGAGGCGCGAAAGCGUGGGGAGCAAACAGGAUUAGAUACCCUGGUAGUCCACGCCCUAAACGAUGAAUGCUAGACGUCGGGGGGUUACCCUUCGGUGUCGCAGCUAACGCAUUAAGCAUUCCGCCUGGGGAGUACGGUCGCAAGAUUAAAACUCAAAUGAAUUGACGG
rnacentral:rRNA from 1 species